GCUAGACUAACUCUUCAUGCCAAAGAAUCCUUUACUUCAGCUAAAGCCACCAGCAAUGAAAGACAAGAGAAACAAGAGGAAGAACCCCAUUGGUUCCCCCAGGAAGAUUCAGAGUCUGCCAGGGACCUCUGGGAGCCCUCAGAAGUUAAUGGAUGGUUUUCUACAACAUGAAGAGAGACCCCUGGUAACUGGAACAAAGACCGACUGUUAUUAGAUUUUAAUGUACUCCAUACUGUCUGAACACAGCAUUCUCGUCCACUUUCACAGGAAGAGGUCUCCGCUUCCACCCCUGGUGCACAGAGCCUGUCUGGUCUGCAGUGCGGCAGCCAGAGCAGCUGUUUUAGACCGGCAGCACCCAACCUAGCUGGAGCUGUGGAAUUCAGUGA
rnacentral:lncRNA from 1 species